rnacentral:rRNA from 1 species
UACGGAGGGAGCUAGCGUUAUUCGGAAUUACUGGGCGUAAAGCGCACGUAGGCGGCUUUGUAAGUAAGAGGUGAAAGCCCAGAGCUCAACUCUGGAAUUGCCUUUUAGACUGCAUCGCUUGAAUCAUGGAGAGGUCAGUGGAAUUCCGAGUGUAGAGGUGAAAUUCGUAGAUAUUCGGAAGAACACCAGUGGCGAAGGCGGCUAUCUGGACCGUAACUGACGCUGAGGCGCGAAAAGCGUGGGGAGCAAACAGGG